GGCGGCGGCUUACCCAUGCAGUCGAGCGGGGCAAGGUAGCUUGCUACUGGACCUUCCGGCGGACGGGUGAGUAAUGCUUAGGAAUCUGCCGAUUGUGGAGGACAACAUUCCCAAAGGAAUGCUAAUACCGCAUACGUCCUACGGAAGAAAGCAGGGGACCUUCGGGCCUUGCGCUAUUAGAUGACCCUAAGUCGGAUUACCUAGUUGGUGGGGUAAAGGCCUACCAAGGCGACUAUCUGUAGCGGGUCUGAGAGGAUGAUCCGCCACACUGGGACUGAAACCCGGCCCAGACUCCUACGGCAGGCAGCAGUGGGGAAUAUUAAGACAAUGGGGGGAACCCUGAUCCAGCCAUGCCGCGUGUGUGAAGAAGGCCUUAUGGUUGUAAAGCACUUUAAGCGAGGAGGAGGCUACUAGUAUUAAUACUACUGGAUAGUGGACGUUACUCGCAGAAUAAGCACCGGCUAACUCUGUGCCAGCAGCCGCGGUAAUACAGAGGGUGCGAGCGUUAAUCGGAUUUACUGGGCGUAAAGCGUGCGUAGGCGGCCAUUUAAGUCAAAUGUGAAAUCCCCGAGCUUAACUUGGGAAUUGCAUUCGAUACUGGAUGGCUAGAGUAUGGGAGAGGAUGGUAGAAUUCCAGGUGUAGCGGUGAAAUGCGUAGAGAUCUGGAGGAAUACCGAUGGCGAAGGCAGCCAUCUGGCCUAAUACUGACGCUGAGGUACGAAAGCAUGGGGAGCAAACAGGAUUAGAUACCCUGAUAGUCCAUGCCGUAAACGAUGUCUACUAGCCGUUGGGGUCUUUUG
rnacentral:rRNA from 1 species